ACGGAAGGCAGCAGUAGGGAAUAUUGCACAAUGGGGGAAACCCUGAUGCAGCGACGCCGCGUGAAGGAUGAAGUAUUUCGGUAUGUAAACUUCUAUCAGCAAGGAAGAAAUUGACGGUACUUGACUAAGAAGCCCCGGCUAAAUACGUGCCAGCAGCCGCGGUAAUACGUAUGGGGCAAGCGUUAUCCGGAUUUACUGGGUGUAAAGGGAGCGUAGGCGGUGUGGCAAGUCAGAAGUGAAAGCCUGGGGCUCAACCCCGGAAUUGCUUUUGAAACUGCCAUACUUGAGUGUCGGAGGGGUAAGCGGAAUUCCUAGUGUAGCGGUGAAAUGCGUAGAUAUUAGGAAGAACACCGGUGGCGAAGGCGGCUUACUGGACGAUUACUGACGCUGAGGCUCGAAAGCGUGGGGAGCAAACAGGAUUAGAUACCCUGGUA
rnacentral:rRNA from 1 species